UAUAAAUCUAGAGGUUGCAGUCUAUCAAUAACAUUAGUCGAGUAGAGGAUUACGUUGACACUAAUGCACAGGGAAGAUUGCCGAAAUGUGAUAAAGUUCCUCGCUUAUCAUGUUGGGUCUAUAGUGAAUAACUAUAGAACUGUCUUAGUUAAAACUAAGAUGCGCUAUGAUUAGA
rfam:Vagococcus teuberi strain DSM 21459, complete genome.